UACAGAGGGUGCGAGCGUUAAUCGGAGUUACUGGGCGUAAAGGGCGCGUAGGCGGUUAUGUAAGUGAGAUGUGAAAUCCCUGGGCUUAACCUAGGAACUGCAUCUCAUACUGUAUAGCUAGAGUAUUGUAGAGGGUAGUGGAAUUUCCGGUGUAGCGGUGAAAUGCGUAGAGAUCGGAAGGAACACCAGUGGCGAAGGCGGCUACCUGGACAAGUACUGACGCUGAUGCGCGAAAGCGUGGGGAGCAAACAGG
rnacentral:rRNA from 1 species